GCUAGGACAGACCCCGUCAAGCUCUCCAUCAUCUCGAUAGGCGGGAUACACAUCUUCAUCGCGCAUACACCGGGAUCCGCCCCUCCACAGGAAGGUGUUGAACCAAUGCAGAUAGAGGAUGCCGGAGACAGCAACAAAUCCGAGCACCAAGAAGGUGCCGGAGAUAAUGAUGACUCGAUUCUCGACAGCCUCAACUCGUUCAUAGAUGAUGUUUCGCCCAUGGCUUAGGAGGAGUACGAGAGGUACUGCAAGGAGCUCGAGGAUGCAGAGAAAGAGGACGGCGAAUCAUCUCUACCUAAGCAAGUCUUCGCGACUUUAGCUAGCAUUAAUGAUGAGGAUGACGACCUAGAGAAGACUUCGUCUCGCGCCAAAAUCCCAUCUCCAGCCCAGCCGGAGGCACCGCCGCGGGUUCGUACCCGUGAUACGCCGGAGCCAUCAUAGGGCUGGAACAUGAAGUACUAUGAAGGGAUGACAGCCGCUCGUGGAAAUAGCAGGUAAACGUGGAGAACAUGUUUAGCAGAAAGAGAUGCUAACGACCCCAAUCACCCCAGAGGUGGUUGCAGAUCUGGAAGCUCUUGAAGCUAAGCGUAAACAACUCCUGGCGGAAUCCGAAAAUAUAGUCAAGCUUAUAGCAUCAGUCUUUGAGGACAGGAUGGAGGCCAAAAAGCUAUACGAGCAGGCCGUCGAAAACGGGCGCUUGGCGGAAGAAGAAUAUGUGAGGGCCAGAGAACUUGCAAGGAAUGGAAAACACAGUCAAAGAAAUCCACGAGGAAGCGAGGCAGAUGCGAAAAUAAGUUAUCCGCCCUCGCAACAUCAACUUUGACAGCGCAGCUCACCACAAGCCUCUGGCAACUCCAAAAUAUAACAUGAAAAAAGCGGCGGAGCUCCUGGCCAAGGACAAUGACCAGAUUGACAUUGACCACAAUCAUUGCCAAAGCCAUGAAGCAGCAUAGCAAGACGGAUACAUCGCGCAGGUUGGAAUCCAACAUGGAAGCAUGUAUGUCUACAACGUAGAAGCAGACUACUGAAAAGUCAAGGGACCACCGCAACGAUCAAUCGCGCACCGCAUCUACUGAGCGCCGGAGAAACAUCAGGGAGAACCCAAAUCCGAUCCCCAUACCUUCGGAUACUCCUCCUAGGGACAAAGCUAAGGGGGAGGAUGUGAUGUACUCUGGCAAGGACAAGUACCGGAACCCGUCGCCUCCAAAGAAUCUGUACCUGCCUCCGCGCCCUCCCCAACGAAGUCCUGCCGGAAACGCCAGACCCCAUAGGCCAGGCGGAAUCAAUAUCCGUGACAACGUUGAACCCAGGAUAAGUCGAAACAAAGAGCACGCACUUGAAUCUCUGAGAAGCCAGAACGAAGAACGCGCACCUGAGCGCAGGCAACCUCGGCGUGAAGGAGGCAGCUGCCAGGAUGGCGAAGGUAGCCACCGCAGCCGGAGCCAGCACCGCUACGAAGGACGUGGAGAGUCUAACAGCAGAAGCAACAGGCCUCGCAUGCCCCCGCACGGUUCUCCGUCACCACCUAGUAGGGGAGGUGGAGGCGGAGGUCGGAGGUCACAGUCCCGCUCAGAGUCCCCUGAGCAUAGGCGGAGCUCACGUGACGCACAGGAAUGCCUGAACGAAUACAAGGUCAGCUACAUCGGCCCAUAGUGUUUUGGAAAGAGAAUCCGCGAGAAAAAACGCCGAAAGGCCUGAACCUCAAGAUACUUGGAAACUUGAAGCAUUAUGAUGGCAGAGAGAGAGAGGCAUGCUACCUAUAUUGACGACUACUUCAAUGCAAUCAGCUUUGCCAGAGGGACCCCAAACAUGGCCUGUCACAUGUUCCAGUUGUACCUUGUUGGUCCGGCCCGGACUUGGCUUAGUGACCUCCCGGAGAACUCCAUCUUUUGCUGGUUCGAUCUGAAGAUAGCCUUCGAGGCACACUUUAGUUGCACUUACAAGAGACCAUACACAGCCCUGCAGGUAUGUAUACAGAAGAAAAACGAAACUUCCCGAGAGUACCUCACUCGGUGGUUAGAAACAAGAAACGAUUGCGAGAAUGUCGACGAAUCAAACAACUAUGCUGGCCUUCAUAAGAGGUUUGUAGAGAGGAUGACUGCUCCGACACAAGUUGACGUGCGAGUACAAUGACCAGAAGCCGAACCUGGAUAAGAUGAUCUCCAUCGCCAGCACCCACACUGCCGCGGAUGUUGACGCAGGCGGAGAACUUCCAGGCACAGUCUUACCCCUGCACCAACAGAGGAAGAACCGUGAUGGCAAUAACAAGCGAAAAAAUCUCCUCGAUGACCAAAAGAAUGGCGGAUCCUACAUGGUCGCCAUGACGUUCCAACGAGGUGGUCAAGGUGGCGGAAGAGGCCACGGUCGUGGUAGCAGCGGUCGCGGUGGCGGAAGAGGCCACGGUCGCGAUGUCAUCAUAUCAGCGGGUGGGAUCUGAGGAUGACGACGGGAAACUCUGUUGCCUUCAACUGCUUUGCGUUUCUUCUCUCACGUGCAGAGUACUGAGCACGCACAUGGCUCAGCGUAGCGCGGGUCGUAAUCUAAUCAGGAGAUCAAUGAUGACGUGGAAAAUGUCUACGCAUAGUAUUAGAACAUCUCUAACGGAUCUCUCAAACUACCAUAACAAAAGAAAACUUUGAUAAGUACGUUGGUGGUGUAGACGUGUCAUUAACGCGGCACAAAAAACUGAGGAGCACUGGCGUCAAGGCGGCGAAGCAGCCACGGUCGCUAGCGGGCAGGUCUAAAUGUGAAGGGCAUGGAUGCGACACGGUCGUUUACAUGCCCGCGAACAACUUGAUCAGAUUGGGUUAAUUUAGGAGUUCUUUUGUGGUACCCUCAAAUGAAUUAUGGCCAUUAAUUUCCGUCCAUCCAAUGGACCAAAUCAAUCCAUACCACGGUUCAAAACUGGAGUGGUAUGUUACAUACCUCUGCAAAUUUUCUCACCUCAGGAAAAAAAAUAGAGACGGGCCCGGCCCAACAGAAAGGACCAGCCCGGUAGAUUUGUCCAGCCCCAGAUAUGCCAGUAGUCGAUCCGGGCGUCAUCUACUGCAAUGCUGGGGAGCUCUCACCACCGCCACCGCCGCCGCUCUCUCCUUUCCCCAACUCCGGCGCCACCGUCUCCUUGCCCCCGUCUUCUGUUCCAACACCAGCUCAUCCUCGACACGCAGCCACCCCAGCGCAUUUCCGACUAUGUCAUGGACGUCCGUGCGUGUCACCGCGCCAGCCAACGCGCAUCCUCUCCUCUCCGGCAUCUCGUCUCCCUUGCCGGUCUUCUCCGCUCGCAUGUCAACAACGCUAACCUGCUUCCCGUCGGUGUCCCCUAACUCCCUCCGCCAUCCCCGCAAUACAGUCUCGGCGGCAGCGGCCUUGGCCCUUGGCCUCGCGUAGAUCCAAGAUCGACGGUGCCGUCCUCGCCGCUCGCCAAGGCGGCCAAGCCGACCUCGCGAUUCUGGGAGCGGUGCCUGGCUGUCAUCGCGCCGUGCCGCCUGUGUCGUCUCGGCGGAGGUGCGGGAGGUGGUAGGAGGCCGACGAACUCCUUCCAUUCAAGGUCAAAUGGAAGAAGCCGAUGGGAGGCAUCGCCUUCUCAACGUCUAUGGCUUCCAUUGCAAGCUGCAGUUGAAGAAGCAGGGCAGAACCGUUCGGGAACUGAAAAGGAGGGUUCUGAAGCUUGAGUUCUGCCUCGAAGAAUCAUGGUCUCAUGUCCGAAAACUUCAUAGAAUAGCGACUUUUAUUAACCUCAUUUGUGAGACCUAUAACAGCUCUAUGUCGUUCUGUUACGCAGAGGCUGAGCAUUUUUUGUGUGGAAAAUGUGCUCAGGGAAUAGCAAAGCAACUGGUUAGGGUGGCGAUAUCUGAAUCCGCCAGGAAGAGAUAGAUAAAGAAGUCACCUACAUGCUCCAUAAUAAGGCCUUGCAUAAGAACACAUAGAUUAUUUCUCCUUUUCAAGCUAUAUAGUGCCCAUUUCUCAUCUCCAGAGGACAUUGAAUCACCGCCAGCUCCACUCUCCCCUACAGAGAAGCGCACGCAGGAGUACAAUCUGCUUCUACAUGUGAACGAGGUGAUCGACCGCGGCCCUUUGAUGAUGGAGGGCACUGAUUUCUACCUUGACGAGGAUGAAGACGUGAGCUGCAAGCACAAGUUUGAGACCUGGCGGGCAAGAUCGACGGCACAGGUCCUGGUGUUUAUGGCGAGGCAUGAUUGGAGUUUGCUAUGAUCAUCUUAUAUCCAGUGUUUAAUUCAGUUUCUUAGGGUUGGUAGUAGUUGUUUUUAAUCCAGUUUGGUACUACGUGUAUUUAAUUCAGAUUGUCAUUUGGUUUGAUUCUAGUUAUCUUGUUUGAUUCAGAAUUUUUGUUAUUCAGUAAACAAAUUUUGUUGUUUUGCU